rnacentral:lncRNA from 1 species
AAAAUCAUUGGCCCAUAUAAAAAACAUGUCUUCUCUCUCUGAAAAAUAAAUGCUUCUCCUCUCCAAAAUUUAAAGGUUUUUGCUCUUUUCCUUGGGCGGCUAUCGGCAACAAAUCUUUAACCAGCCGCAACCCCUUUUUUCUUUUCUCUCUUCUUGCAUAUUUUCUUCUUUUAAUCUUAUUUUUAUUCCUCUUUUAUCUUUUAUUUGCUGCCCUUUAUGGGUCUUCUCCCCAACAUGCAUUUGCCUUUUUCUCAAGACAGAUCUAUGGAUUUGUUCUUACUUUUGGUUUCUGUUUAGAGUCUUCUAAGCUUCUUGGUUUAGGGCAACCACUCAAGGAAAGUUUUAAUAGAAACUUUCUAUGGAGGUGGCUUAGUAAAAGGGAGAUCUGGUCCAUCCUCUAAAUCAAGAUGGGUUUAUGCACUCUGUAACAUCCUGAUUUCUAGAACUUUCUAUUGCAUGAUAGAUUGUUUAGUAGUACCAAUUAGGGUUUUGUACUAAUUUCAAACUAAUUGGAGAAAAUCUUGAUUUGUGAGUCUUGAUGGUGAAUCAAACAUUACAUGCAUAGUUUUCUCAAAUUGACUAUUUUAAUUGCAUAUUAAUGUUUUCAAUUUUAAAAUUGGAUUUGUUUUAAGCCUUGAUUUGAAAUUGGGGGAGAAAUUGAUUUGAUUUUGACCAAAUUAAUUUUAUUUAGACUAUAAUUUAAAUAAUUUUGACUAUUUUAAAUUGAGUGAG